UUGAAUGAGAAGAUUACGGAUGAUGUUCUUUUACAAAUAACUGGUAGAGGCCAAGGAAGCUUGCAAUGCUUGAGCCUGGUUGAUUGCCAAAGGAUUACUGAUGAAGGUCUUAAGCAUGUCGUUGAAAAUAAUCCAAAGCUAAUCAAGCCAUGCUUCCAAUAAUGUGUUAGAUGGGCUGAACAUGUUUGAUGGAACUGAUGCUCAUUACUUCCACACGGGGUCAAGGGGUCACCACUCGGUGUGGGAUUCUCGCCUUUUUAAUUAUGGAAGCUGGGAAGUAUGUACUUCUACCUAAACAUUUCUUAAUGAAUAGCUUGUUUAAAGAUUUUGGCUUCCUCCCUUCCAGUUGUAAAUAUUAUUUCUUAGUUGUUGCUUUAGGUAUUGAGGUAUCUUCUUUCAUAUGCAAGAUGGUGGCUGGAGGAGUAUAAGUUUGAUGGGUACAGAUUUGAUGGUGUGACUUCAAUGAUGUACAAGAUUUCCUUGAUUAAGUAAAUGUAUUAUUUAUUUGAGUAAGAAAAUGCAUUGUAUGUUUUAUUACCUUGCAUAUGUAUUAUUUAUUUUAGUUUUGAUUCUAAAUUUUUAUUUUUACUUAAUAGUUCUAACUUUUGGAUUUUAA